CCCCGACCUGGCUGCCCCCCUGUCAGCUUCUAAAGUGAAAGAGUGGUUGUUUGUAUCCGGACUUUCGGGUCACACUAGGGCCAGCGUUUGAAAGCAGUUGCUCUUCUUGACCAACGAGGACCACCCAAGGAUAUCAUUUGGACAGUCAGUCACAAUAGCUGCCGUCAACAGAUGAUGCUGUUAAUGGGGAAGGGCCUCCACUCGUGUACUUCUAAAGUCUCGAAUAACCCUCUGAGUGCGGUUAGCUGCCAUCCAGCCUUCUGUGCCCAGGCUGCAGCUGCUCAACUCCCACUGCAAAAGCCCUGCAACUACGCAAGCCCUGCUCCGACUACGCAAGCCCUGCUCCGACUACUCAAGCCCUGCUCCGACUACGCAAGCCCUGCUCCGACUACGCAAGCCCUGCUCCAACUACGCAAGCCCUGCUCCGACU
rnacentral:lncRNA from 1 species